rnacentral:rRNA from 1 species
GAUGAACGCUGGCGGCGUGCCUAAUACAUGCAAGUAGAACGCACAGUUUAUACCGUAGCUUGCUACACCAUAGACUGUGAGUUGCGAACGGGUGAGUAACGCGUAGGUAACCUGCCUGGUAGCGGGGGAUAACUAUUGGAAACGAUAGCUAAUACCGCAUAAUAUUGAUUAUUGCAUGAUAAUUGAUUGAAAGAUGCUAUUGCAUCACUACCAGAUGGACCUGCGUUGUAUUAGCUAGUAGGUGAGGUAACGGCUCACCUAGGCGACGAUACAUAGCCGACCGUGGGGGGGGAUCGGCCCCACUGGGACUGAGACACGGCCCAGAGGCCUACGGGAGGCAGCAGUAGGGAAUCUUCGGCAAUGGGGGAAAGUCUGACCGAGCAACGCCGCGUGAGUGAAGAAGGUUUUCGGAUCGUAAAGCUCUGUUGUAAGAGAAGAACGGGCGUGAGAGUGGAAAGUUCACAAUGUGACGGUAGCUUACCAGAAAGGGACGGCUAACUACGUG